rnacentral:lncRNA from 13 species
UUCUUAAUCUAUAGAACAUUAUCUGUAACAAUAGCACUUACUUGUGAGGUCGUGAGAAUUCAGUGACAAUGACAUAUAAAGCACAAACUGUGAAGAACUAGAAAAGAAGCAAGUCUUUAAAGGAUUGGAUCAGAGACGGGAAGAAAGCAGAGGUGGACUGGAGAUGCAGUCUUGAAGGACUGGGGACCGCCAGCAGGGUGGACAGGAGAA